rnacentral:piRNA from 1 species
UAGGACGCAGAGAAGGUGUGAAGGUCUUC